rnacentral:misc_RNA from 1 species
GAUGAAGAACGUAGCGAAAUGCGAUACUUGGUGUGAAUUGCAGAAUCCCGUGAACCAUCGAGUCUUUGAACGCAAGUUGCGCCUCAAGCCAUUAGGUUGAGGGCACGUCUGCCUGGGCGUCACAUAUCGUUGCCUGAUGCCAGUUUCCUCGUGAGGGGUGACUGUGCAGGGCGAAUGAUGGCUUCCCGUGAGCAUUGUUGCCUCAUGGUUGGUUGAAAAUUGAGUCCUUGGUAGGGAGCGCCGUGAUAGAUGGUGGUUGAGUGACGAACGAGACCCAAUCAUGUGAGACCCCUACCGAAUUUGGCCUUCAUGACCCACAUGCGUCUUUGGAACGCUCAUGACGAGACCUCAGGUCAGGCGGGGCUACCCGCUGAGUUUAAGCAUAUCAAUAAGCGGAGGA